GUCUACAGCCAUAACACCCUGAACGCGCCCAAUCUCAUCUGACCUCGGAAGCGAAGCAGGGUCGGGCCUAGUUAGUACUUGAACAGGAGAAGGAACUGACUCCAAAGGGAGGCUGGGAAUCUCUGCAGGGG
rnacentral:rRNA from 1 species